rnacentral:rRNA from 1 species
AUGAACGCUGGCGGCGUGCUUAACACAUGCAAGUCGAACGAAGCAUAUAAAAGGAAUUUCUUCGGAGAGGAAUUUUAUAUGACUGAGUGGCGGACGGGUGAGUAACGCGUGGGCAACCUACCCCACACAGGGGGACAACAGUUGGAAACGACUGCUAAUACCGCAUAGGCGCACAGCUUCGCAUGAAGCAGUGUGGAAAACCGAGGUGGUGUGGGAUGGGCCCGCGUCUGAUUAGCUGGUUGGCGGGGUAACGGCCCACCAAGGCGACGAUCAGUAGCCGGCCUGAGAGGGUGGACGGCCGCAUUGGGACUGAGACACGGCCCAAACUCCUACGGGAGGCAGCAGUGGGGAAUAUUGCACAGUGGGGGAAACCCUGAUUUUUUUUACGCCGCGUGAGCGAAGAAGUAUUUCGGUAUGUAAAGCUCUAUCUGCGCGGAAGACAAUGACGGUACCUGACUAAGAAGUCCCUCGGUAAAUACGUGCCAGCAACCGCGGUAAUACAAUGGGGCAAGCGUAAUCCAGGAUAUACUGGGAGUAAAGGGGAGCGACAGCGGCUUGGCAAGUCUGAUGUGAAAGGCUGGGGCUCUCCCCCGGGCCUGCCUUGGCNCCUGUUGGGCUUGCGUGUCGGGGGGGUCCGCGGCUUUCCUUGUGUGGCGGUGNNUUGCUUGGUUUUUUGGGGGGGCCCCCGUGGCGNGGGCGGCUUCCUGGCCGNCCCCUGNCGCUGNGGCUCGNNAGCGUGGGGAGCCCCUUAGAAGGAAGAUACCNANNUANUNCACACAGAANAGGGGCCUACGAGUAAGAGUCGGUGGGCAAAGCCCAUCGGUGCCGCAGCAAACGCAGUAAGUAUUCCACCUGGGGAGUACGUUCGCAAGAAUGAAACUCAAAGGAAUUGACGGGGACCCGCACAAGCGGUGGAGCAUGUGGUUUAAUUCGAAGCAACGCGAAGAACCUUACCAAGCCUUGACAUCCCUCUGACAGCAUAUGUAAUGUAUGUUCCCUUCGGGGCAGAGGAGACAGGUGGUGCAUGGUUGUCGUCAGCUCGUGUCGUGAGAUGUUGGGUUAAGUCCCGCAACGAGCGCAACCCUUAUCCCCAGUAGCCAGCAGGUAAAGCUGGGCACUCUGUGGAGACUGCCAGGGACAACCUGGAGGAAGGCGGGGAUGACGUCAAAUCAUCAUGCCCCUUAUGGCUUGGGCUACACACGUGCUACAAUGGUGCAAACAAAGGGAAGCGAGAUGGUGACAUGAAGCAAACCCCAAAAAAAGCACCUCAGUUCGGAUUGUAGUCUGCAACUCGACUACAUGAAGCUGGAAUCGCUAGUAAUCGCGAAUCAGAAUGUCGCGGUGAAUACGUUCCCGGGUCUUGUACACACCGCCCGUCACACCAUGGGAGUUGGAAAUGCCCGAAGUCAGUGACCUAAAAGAAAGGAGGGAGCUGCCGAAGGCAGGUC